rnacentral:rRNA from 1 species
GACGAACGCUGGCGGCGUGCUAAUACAUGCAAGUCGAACGCUUCUUUUUCCACCGGAGCUUGCUCCACCGGAAAAAGAGGAGUGGCGAACGGGUGAGUAACACGUGGGUAACCUGCCCAUCAGAAGGGGAUAACACUUGGAAACAGGUGCUAAUACCGUAUAACAAUCGAAACCGCAUGGUUUUGAUUUGAAAGGCGCUUUCGGGUGUCGCUGAUGGAUGGACCCGCGGUGCAUUAGCUAGUUGGUGAGGUAACGGCUCACCAAGGCCACGAUGCAUAGCCGACCUGAGAGGGUGAUCGGCCACAUUGGGACUGAGACACGGCCCAAACUCCUACGGGAGGCAGCAGUAGGGAAUCUUCGGCAAUGGACGAAAGUCUGACCGAGCAACGCCGCGUGAGUGAAGAAGGUUUUCGGAUCGUAAAACUCUGUUGUUAGAGAAGAACAAGGAUGAGAGUAACUGUUCAUCCCUUGACGGUAUCUAACCAGAAAGCCACGGCUAACUACGUGCCAGCAGCCGCGGUAAUACGUAGGUGGCAAGCGUUGUCCGGAUUUAUUGGGCGUAAAGCGAGCGCAGGCGGUUUCUUAAGUCUGAUGUGAAAGCCCCCGGCUCAACCGGGGAGGGUCAUUGGAAACUGGGAGACUUGAGUGCAGAAGAGGAGAGUGGAAUUCCAUGUGUAGCGGUGAAAUGCGUAGAUAUAUGGAGGAACACCAGUGGCGAAGGCGGCUCUCUGGUCUGUAACUGACGCUGAGG